rnacentral:miRNA from 1 species
AGGAGUAAUAUUCUAACGUUGAGC